AAAUGUGUGAAGGAGUAGUUUUACUGAAUCAGUGGAAACAAGGAAACACUUGAUUUGGUAAAACUAUAAA
rnacentral:ncRNA from 2 species